rnacentral:rRNA from 1 species
CAAUAGCGUAUAUUAAAGUUGUUGCAGUUAGAACGCUCGUAGUCGGAUUUCGGGGCGGGCCGACCGGUCUGCCGAUGGGUACGCACUGGUCGGCGCGUCCUUCCUUCCGGAGACCGUGCCUACUCUUAACUGAGCGGGGGCGGGGGACGGAUCGUUUACUUUGAAAAAAUCAGAGUGUUUCAAGCAGGCAGCUCGCUCUUGCAUGGAUUAGCAUGGGAUAAUGAAAUAGGACUUUGGUGCUAUUUUGUUGGUUUCGAACACCGAAGUAAUGAUUAAAAGGGACAGUCAGGGGCACUCGUAUUCCGCCGAGAGAGGUGAAAUUCUCAGACCAGCGAAAGACGAACUACUGCGAAAGCAUUUGCCAGGGAUGUUUUCACUGA